GAUGAACGCUAGCGGCAGGCCUAACACAUGCAAGUCAGGGGUAACAUAGGAAAGCUUGCUUUUCUGAUGACGACCGGCGCACGGGUGCGUAACGCGUAUACAACCUACCUUUUAGCGGGGAAUAGCCCAGGGAAACUUGGAUUAAUGCCCCAUAGUAUAUAGACUUCUCCCGAAGUUUAUAUUAAACAUUUAUGGCUAUUAGAUGGGUAUGCGUCCUAUUAGUUAGUUGGUAAGGUAACGGCUUACCAAGGCAGCGAUAGGUAGGGGUCCUGAGAGGGAGAUCCCCACACUGGUACUGAGACACGGACCAGACUCCUACGGGAGGCAGCAGUGAGGAAUAUUGGACAAUGGGCGAGAGCCUGAUCCAGCCAUGCCGCGUGCAGGAAGACUGCCCUAUGGGUUGUAAACUGCUUUUACAGAGGAAGAACCACCCCACGUGUGGGGGUUUGACGGUACUCUGCGAAUAAGGAUCGGCUAACUCCGUG
rnacentral:rRNA from 1 species